UAACAAGGUCUCCGUUGGUGAACCAGCGGAGGGAUCAUUAUAGAGUUUUCUAAACUCCCAACCCAUGUGAACUUACCUUUUGUUGCCUCGGCAGAAGUUAUAGGUCUUCUUAUAGCUGCUGCCGGUGGACCAUUAAACUCUUGUUAUUUUAUGUAAUCUGAGCGUCUUAUUUUAAUAAGUCAAAACUUUCAACAACGGAUCUCUUGGUUCUGGCAUCGAUGAAGAACGCAGCGAAAUGCGAUAAGUAAUGUGAAUUGCAGAAUUCAGUGAAUCAUCGAAUCUUUGAACGCACAUUGCGCCCAUUAGUAUUCUAGUGGGCAUGCCUGUUCGAGCGUCAUUUCAACCCUUAAGCCUAGCUUAGUGUUGGGAAUCUACUUCUUUAUAGUUGUAGUUCCUGAAAUACAACGGCGGAUUUGUAGUAUCCUCUGAGCGUAGUAAUUUUUUUCUCGCUUUUGUUAGGUGCUAUAACUCCCAGCCGCUAAACCCCCAAUUUUUUGUGGUUGACCUCGGAUCAGGUAGGAAUACCCGCUGAACUUAAGCAUAUCAAUAA
rnacentral:rRNA from 1 species